GAUGAACGCUGGCGGCGUGCCUAAUACAUGCAAGUCGAGCGAAUGGAUUGAGAGCUUGCUCUUAUGAAGUUAGCGGCGGACGGGUGAGUAACACGUGGGUAACCUGCCCAUAAGACUGGGAUAACUCCGGGAAACCGGGGCUAAUACCGGAUAACAUUUUGAACCGCAUGGUUCGAAAUUGAAAGGCGGCUUCUGCUGUCACUUAUGGAUGGACCCGCGUCGCAUUAGCUAGUUGGUGAGGUAACGGCUCACCAAGGCAACGAUGCGUAGCCGACCGGAGAGGGUGAUCGGCCACACUGGGACUGAGACACGGCCCAGACUCCUACGGGAGGCAGCAGUAGGGAAUCUUCCGCAAUGGACGAAAGUCUGACGGAGCAACGCCGCGUGAGUGAUGAAGGCUUUCGGGUCGUAAAACUCUGUUGUUAGGGAAGAACAAGUGCUAGUUGAAUAAGCUGGCACCUCGACGGUACCUAACCAGAAAGCCACGGCUAACUACGUGCCAGCAGCCGCAGUAA
rnacentral:rRNA from 1 species